CUGACAAGCUCACCCAUGAGUUUUCAUUCGAACCAGAAUUCAACAUGAGAGAAUUUCUAGUCAAAUGUUUCCUGCUUCAGUGUUGCAUUGGACUGUGCACAAUGUUAAUUGUUACACAAACUCCUACCAACCUUUUGUUAGUCAAUGGAGCAACCAUGAACAUCACCUGCAGUCACCAUGACAAAAGCUAUGACAAAAUCUUCUGGUACCAGCAGUCCAACGGGCAAAAUCUCGAGCACCUUGGCUUCCUUUCCUUCAGGCAACCCUUGGCUGACAGAAAGGAUUUCACAAUAACAGGAGAUGCGGAGAAAGAGGCGUACUUGGUGGUGUCGCCUGUGAAAGCUGAGCACAGUGCUGUGUACUUCUGUGCAGUGAGUAAAGCACAGUGCUUUAAGUUUAUAGGAGCCUGUGCUCAAAACCCCACCCCUGUCACAUGACACAUCUGCACCUGAGUCGACAGCCCAGUCAAAUGAGGUGAACACGGUCUUGAGAUACAUGAUAGUUAUACACUUCUGACUGCAGAAGAAGCAAAUAUUUAGAGAGGCAUCUGCAGCAUUGUGAAUUUAAUGUUAUUUAUUGUUUUGAAUGUUGUAAUCAUGAUCAGAGCAAUCAUUUUAACCACAAUCAUUACUUUUUAUUUGUUCAUAGUUUGUGUGGUUUGUUCUCCUGUCAUUCAACAGUCUCCCAAGCAUCUUCUACGAACAGUGGAGGAGAAAGAGGCAAAGCCUUCUUGUCAUCACGGUGACAGCAGCUAUCCAUAUCUGUACUGGUAUCAACAGAAAAGCAACAGCGGUUCUUUGGAGCUUAUAGGAAUGCUCAAUUUUGACACAGCUUAUCAAGAGGAAAAAUUCAAAACUCGAUUUGACAUCACAGGACAUGCUACACAAAAUGCAAACCUGCUCAUAUCCAGCAUAACUGCUGAGGACAGCGCAGUGUAUUUCUGUGCAGCAAGUGAGCACAGCCGUACAGUUCUCUAUAACCUUUGACAAAAAAUGGUUUACUUUGCACCUGUUUAUAUAUCUAUGCCAAAUCCGUUAAUAACUGUUAUUACAAAUAGAGGGCACUAAUGAAAUGUAAUAUUUCAGCACAUUCGGGGUUUAAUGGAGAACAGCAGCAUAAUGAU